GUACACACCGGCUCACUCCUUGGCGGCCGCUUAUCGGGGCCUGGAGCCUGGGGCUCGCUCGGGCCCCUUCGGGGGUGGGGUGCCCCCGGCCUCUCGGCCUGGGGCUCGGUCACUCAGGCACAGCUGGCGGCCGGCGGAGCUCACGGGCGCGUCACUGCAACUCCCCCUGGCUUCUGCUCCGCGGCUGCUGAGUGAACCCUCAUCUGGGACUCUCCUCAGCUCUUACUGGAACAGUGGCGCGGCUGCCCCUCUGUUGGUCUUCCAUGGUUUCUUGUGUUCUGGGGGCCUCUGGAUGUCUGGAGUUUUGAUCUCCUCCAUACCUGCUUCACACCCUGGAGGACGGGGCUGUGGCCCCCCCACACUCCCUAACAGAUCGUUACAUGGAGAAACCUUUGGAAUACAAGCGCGCUGAUCCACACAGGUGAUCCAGGAGAUUUUUUUUUUUCUCUCCCCCCCUUUCUCACUGUCCCUCUCCCCUUCUGUUUUUCCUUUCCUUCCUCUUUCUUUCUCCCUUUCCUAUCUCUCACUCAUGUCUGUCCCGUCUGUAACAUCUGAAAAUAAAAUAUAAUAAAUAAUAAAAACAAAGAUCGACCAAAUGGACCAAUACGGCAAGGCCAUGAUGAUCCGUUUGGCAAAGUAAAUCCAUUGGGUAUCCUUGUUGGUCUUCAGACAACAAUUCUGAUGGCUAAAGAACCAAAUGGGACAGGCGGAAAAAAAAAAAAAAAAAAAAAAAAAAGAGAUGGACAUUGCUGUUCCACCUAAUUAUGUUUUAAGUAUGUGGCUUGAGACCAGCCACAUAUGUGGGAGAUCAAAAGCAAUGGAAAAAAGACCUUGUAGGUAUUAAUGUGUCCUGGAGGAAAAUUGUAAUUCAUAUCUGCACCUUCAGACACCUUCAAAAGUGAAGGUUCAUACCUGUAUGUUCUCAGUAUGGAAAAAAACAAAGUUAUAUAAACUUCAAAGAAAAUGUUACUAAAACUGGCUAACAGAUGCUAACAAAAGCUAACAGUAGCUAACAGACGCUAACAAAAGCUAGCACUGGCUAACCGUAGCUAACAGAGGCUAAAAGCUAACUUUACUUCAGUAUCGUUGUCAUUGGUAUCAAGUGAGCUUCAUUGGUUCAUCAGCUCGUUGACUCCUUUUAUAAAGUUUUACAGCUUCCUUCAGAUUAACUAGAUAUGGACACAUCUCCAAAAGUUGAUUCUGUUCAUCUGGACGUAGCAUUUUCAGUGACUAAGCGAAAACCUGUAGUGAUCCUGUAUGUGUCAUGAGUAUUGGAACAGUUGAGACACAUUUUUUCUAAACACCGUGUCUCUGUGGCUUUAAAACUCCAAAACACUCUGCGCCAAACGUUGGUCCACCCCAAGGAUCGGAUCCCCCGACACAAACAGAGUAACAUAGUGUACGCUGUGAAGUGCCAGGAGGAUUGCCAAGAUUUAUACCUCUGACGAAGCGGAUGGCACAACACAGAAUAGCCACCUCGUCAGGUCAGGACUCUGCAGUAUAUUUACACCUACAGGCCAAUGGACGCUCUUUCAUUGAUGAGGAUGUACACAUCCUGGACAGGGAGGAACGCUGGUUUGAGCGCGGAGUCAAGGAGGCCAUUUACGUGAAAAGGGAGAGACCAUCUCUGAAUCCAGGAUGGGGCCUAAGGGUACAUCUUUCGCCAUCUUACAAUGCUGUGAUUGCAGCCAUUCCCCAACUCUCUGGGAAUGGUACUCAUGGCCAUUGGUCAGUGGGCUUUGAUCAGUGGUUGUUGAUCAAUGGUCAUGAGAAUUUGCAUAAUCAUCAUAAAGAAACUGACCUCCCAGCUCAUUGUUCCUUCAGUGGUGCUAGUUCCAGUCAUUAUGCAAAUGUGCUGUUUAUAAGAUUGGGGAAACCUGCAGUCAGCUGAGACUGAAGAAGUCACUUGGAUGAGUUAUGAAACUUUUCUCCCACUGAAAAUGCUAAGUCCAGAUGAACAGAAUCAACUUUUGGAGAUUUACUUACCUGGAUGAUUGAGCAUGCAUCAAGAUGUGGACACAUAUUGACAGUUGAGGUAAACGGCACGCUGACAGUUUACACUUAACUGGCUGAGUUAACACCAGCUAAUGCGACAUCGCAAUGCAGCUGAUUGAAAUGAAAACCUCGACUUUGUGGGGGUCAAAGUUUGCAGAACUACGAACGCAGCUGGAAUCCACAGGUGUGCGUGUUCAUGGAGCUUUUCACCUGCUGGAUAUCACUACCUGAGAAGUUUAACUCUCUUCAGAACAUUGCAGAGGCCUUAUUGACAGUAUUUGGCUCUACAUAUCUGUGUGAGCAGAUUUUCUCUCACAUGAAGAGGUGUCCUCAGGUGGCCGUCUGAAUGCUGGACACUCGGAGACCUGUGUCUCUGAGUGGGAGACCAGAGAUCACAUUAACAUGUGUAUCUCUGUAUUAACAAACAUGCCAUAUUGGCCCAGUUUAUUUUUCUUAUCAUUAUUGUGAGGAGACCAUGAAUAGCAUUUGCAUUUUCUGUUGUACAGUUCAUUUGCUCUUCUUGUUAUAUACAAAAAGUGUCUUUUUUUUGUUUCCAAAUAGCUGACAACUAUUCGCUGAUAGCUGCCAACAUCUGCG
ensembl:lncRNA